GGCACCAUGGCUUAGUUAGCUAAAGUGCCUGCCUUGUAAACAGGUAAUCCCGGGUUCAAGUCCUAGUGGUACUU
rnacentral:tRNA from 1 species